GAUGAACGCUGGCGGCGUGCCUAGUACAUGCAAGUCGAGCGAACGGACGAGAAGCUUGCUUCUCUAAUGUUAGCGGCGGACGGGUGAGUAACACGUGGAUAACCUACCUAUAAGACUGGGAUAACUUCGGGAAACCGUAGCUAAUACCGGAUAAUAUUUUGAACCGCAUGGUUCAAAAGUGAAAGACGGUCUUGCUGUCACUUAUAGAUGGAUCCGCGCUGCAUUAGCUAGUUGGUAAGGUAACGGCUUACCAAGGCAACGAUGCAUAGCCGACCUGAGAGGGUGAUCGGCCACACUGGAGCUGAGACACGGUCCAGACUCCUACGGGAGGCAGCAGUAGGGAAUCUUCCGCAAUGGGCGAAAGCCUGACGGAGCAACGCCGCGUGAGUGAUGAAGGUCUUCGGAUCGUAAAACUCUGUUAUUAGGGAAGAACAUAUGUGUAAGUAACUGUGCACAUCUUGACGGUACCUAAUCAGAAAGCCACGGCUAACUACGUG
rnacentral:rRNA from 1 species